GCCUUAGUUGCCCAAAGCUGUUUCACUCCAAGUCACAACAUUCCUUUGGAAGCCCACAACUGAUGACUGAGGGUUAGAUAUCUAAGGCCUGUCCAUUUUAGCCUGACAUCAAAUACCCUGACAGGUAGUAUUCCCUUUAGAGGUGUUCACCAGGUUGGCCAAGACUUUGUUAGGUCUGCAUUGCAGUUAAACUUCUUCCCCUGUUCACUUCUACUUGCUAUAUCUUUCACAGACUCAUGGAUUUUUGUAGUGUAUUUUUAAUCAAAUUAUUUUGUAGAAAGGGACUCUGAAAAAAAAUAAAAACUUUUGUUUGUGGCCCUGUGUAUGUACCCUAGAGGCAGUCACUACGGGACAUAACCUGUGCAGUCCAUUUCUUGGAUAGUCGUCUUACUCUAUACUCAAUUCUGCUGGAGAACACUGGCCUCUGAUUCCUUCUCUCAUACCAAUGACCCCUCACUGCUCGCUUAGUGUGCCAAUAAUAUUCACUAUUAAUUUCUAGAAAUGAAAGGCUUUAUAUAACAAAAUAUAACAAGCUGAUCUUGACUGUAACUAGUUUUGACAAUUGAUACAUUUCUUUUGUGUACUCAGAGAGAUGCUGUUCACCUCUUUUUUGUUUCCUGAGACAACUUAUAUUACUUUCUUGGCAAGCAUUUAGAACACCUGCACAUAAACCACAGGUGAAAUACAGAAUAGAGCCCUCUAUAUUAAUUUUCUUGGUAGCAAUUAGUUGUACUGGUGUUUGUUCUCAGAAAGCUUCUGAACUACUGCUCAAAGCCAGCUCAAUUUUGAUGAAGGAGACUGAUUUCUUAGCAAUAUUUUCAAUCUUUGUACCCCAUGCUGAUAGCAGCUGGAUCAGAAAUACACUCAGCAUUGCUUUCGUGCUUGACAGUUAUAGUUGUGACCAUGUUAAUUACCAUCCUGUCUAACAGCACAAUGGGGACACUGUAUAGCUCUGAGAGUGAUUAUAGUCUUGCCUUCUGCAGAAAGACUUUCUUGGAAAUCAUGAGUAAUUUGUAAUUAAAGAAGACGUUC
rnacentral:lncRNA from 10 species